rnacentral:rRNA from 1 species
UGGGGAAUAUUGCACAAUGGAGGAAACUCUGAUGCAGCGACGCCGCGUGAGUGAAGAAGGUCUUCGGAUCGUAAAACUCUGUCCUUGGUGACGAAAAAAAUGACGGUAGCCAAGGAGGAAGCCCCGGCUAACUACGUGCCAGCAGCCGCGGUAAUACGUAGGGGGCGAGCGUUGUCCGGAUUUACUGGGCGUAAAGGGUGAGUAGGCGGUAAUAUGUGUCAGAUGUAAAAGGCUAUGGCUUAACCAUAGUUAGCAUUUGAAACUGUAUUACUUGAGUGCAGGAGAGGUAAGUGGAAUUCCUAGUGUAGCGGUGAAAUGCGUAGAUAUUAGGAGGAACACCAGUGGCGAAGGCGACUUACUGGACUGUAACUGACGCUGAGUCACGAAAGCGUGGGUAGCAAACAG